UAUUAUGCAGCCCAAGAGCAUCACAGUGUAAGAUGUGUGUUUAGUGGCUGAAAAUAAGUUUGGAAGUUGUGUUUAACCAGGUAACAACAAACAACAGGGUUCAGUGUUUUAACAACCCUGCAGCUGCAAAUACCAGAGACAAGACACUGCAUGCUCUGCUUAUUAUCAUUCAGAGAGAGAGAGAGAGAGAGAGAGUUAAAGAGAGAGAAAGUUAAAGAAAAAAAAAGUAAGAGAUGAUCAGAUAAAGGGAGUGACAGAGAGCUUCUAUUUCACUCUUUCAGUCUGACUGAGAGAAAAACACUGAAGGUAUACAGUAGAUAUCUUAUUGUAGGAGUUAUAUAUGUGUAUAUAAUAUAAUAUAUUUAUGUAUAUAAGUAUAUAAAUAUAUAAUUAGAAGUAUACGUUUUGUCUGCGCACUCGGCUGUACGGAUUUUAAGCCAAAAUGAAAAGGAUUUUUUAUUAUUUCUUCUUCUUCUACUGGAUGUCGACGCUUGUCUUCUCAAUAGAAAUAUAUCUCAACACAAAUCAGGACGUGGAGGUGGAGUGUAAUCAGAGCAUCGUCCUGCAGUGCACCAUCAUUUCACCAGAGCCAGGCCAAAUUGAUAGCAUGUUCUGGAUGAAACCAAAUGCAAAACCUAUACCAACCCAAAGCUGUACUCUCACCAGUGAAUCCCUGACGUGCACUAUUACUCACGCUUCACCAGGAGACGCAGGGAAUUAUACAUGUGUUCUAGAGGCAAGCAACGGUCACGGAUAUAUCAAAACUACUGUAACAGUGAGACACUGUGUGAAAAGCGCUCCUUCUGACCCACUGUACUGCAUUUUUAUUACAAAUCACUCUGAUGGUGAGGUUCACUGGUUCUGUGGGAAGAAGAAUGUGACCCAGGCCUCCGGUAAAAAACAGGUUAAAAAAACACAUGAAUAUUUUAUCACCAGCUCUCUUCAGGAUCCGGGCUGUGAUGUGGAUUAUAACUGCAGUCUGUGGAUUCCCACUUUAAACACCUACAUUUCUUCUCAAUGUGUACAAAGAAACUCCUCAACCAAUCACAAGCUUCCAUGGAUUGUCCUGCUCCUUUGUUUCACUUUUACAAAGUAUAAAGUUUAUUAAGCAAAAUGGUAAAAUUUGCAGGAAUCACGCAGGACAGGCGUAAUAAACAGGGCAGCAAGAGACAACGUAAAAGAGAAAAACAGGAUCUAAAUCUAAACUAUACAAAAGAGCAAAGCAAAAGAGUAAUUUAAAUAACAAAACAAGGUCGGUAACAAAGUAGCAAAAAAAAUGUAGGAUCAAUACUCGGUGACGGGAAACAGAAAAAGAGGGGUAUUUAUACAAGGGGACACAGGAAAUGAAAAUCAACAGUCAGGUGAGCUGGAACACCGAAGCGUCACGUGAUCCGACAUGGCCGAAGGGUAAAGUGAAGAAAGAAACUCCUCAACCAAUAACAAGCUUCCAUAGAUUCUCCUGCUCCUGUGUUUCACUUUUACAAAUCAUAAAGUUUCUUAGCAAAAUGGUAAAAUUUGCAAGAAUCAGGCAGGACAGGCGUAAUAAACAGGGCAGCAAGAGACAACGUACCAGAGAAAAACAGGAUCUAAAUCUAAACUAUACAAAAGAGCAAAGCAAAAGAGUAAUUUAAAUAACAAAACAAGGUCGGUAACAAAGUAGCAAAACAAACAAAACACAAAAGAAAUGCAGGGUAGGAGAGUUAUGACUAUGGCGACAGGAAACAGAAACAGAGGGGUAAUUAUACAAGUGGACACAGGAAAUGGCAAUCAACAGAACGGCACGUGAUCCAGCAUGUCCGGAGGAUAGAACAAAGAAAGAAACUCUAAAGAAACAAGCUUCCAUCGACUCUCCUGCUCCUGUCUUUCACUUUUACCAAAUUCUUCUGCACUACAAUUUAACAGAAUCGAGUUUUACCAUUUACCAAACCAACUAAACUCGAAUAGAUUUAUUCCAAUACAUUAUUUAAGCAAAUGUUCGAAUCAAUAUUAUGGUGAGAACUACUCAGCUCAAUUAAAGAAAAGUAAAAAAAGAAAAUGACUUAAAGAAAUGAAGGCCAAUCAAUCCUAAAAUCAGUUGCAAGAACUUUGAAAAUAUGCUCAAGUGCAGUCGCAACAAAAAAAAAAGAUCAUCAAAAUCAUUAUGAUGAUGGAACUGGCACUCAUCAGAACCGUGCAAGGAAAUGAAUAGCAAAAUGUAACAUCCUCAAGUUAAUUUUACUAAACCAUUCAGUUAACCCUGAGAACCUUUUUUUUAUUUUUGGUAGUUUCAACAAUCUUUACUCUCCUAAAUAUCACCCUAUAACACGUAAUAUAGGCACGAACCUCCAGUGUAUUAUUGCGAUAUAUUUAUACCACAGUUCCAUAAUCGCUGUAUAUUGAAAGAUUUUAAAGAGUUAAAGAGGAGGAGAAAACAGGAUCUGUUUGGUUAUAAAAACACCAGUUAAAAUAGUUCCAUUGCUGCUCUGUUUGUAGCUGUAGCGCUGUUUGGCUUGUAAGCGCUGCAUCAUUGCUAGGUUACCUGUAUAGGGCGGAGUAAUACAGUAAUACAUGGAGAGCUUCGGUUACAGGGCAUUACCGGCUGAUAACGGUACUCACAGAACGCCUCUCAUCCAAUCGCAUUGCAGGGUCGGAACUACUGUAACUGUAGUAUAAUACAAAGUAUUAAUAGAAGAAAGUAACACAUCAGAUAUUGUUAUUUUCAGAAGAUCCUACACUAUUCAAAUAUGUCUUUAUUUGAACUGUAAAUAUUAACAUUUUUUUUUAUUUGCAUUAAUUUGACAGUGAUAAAUGUGAUUUAACAUCAUAGUCUUUGCAUAUCUUAUUACUUAUUUGAACAGUUACUUUUACCUAAUAAACAAUGAUGGCUCAUUUCUGAGGGCAAAGGUCUGAGGAAUUUGGUUAAUCCGGGAGGAUGGAUGGGAUGAUUGAUUGGAUGGAAUGGAUGGGAUGUUAUUGGAUGGAUGGAUGGAUGGAUGGAUGGAUGGAUGGGUGGGAUGAUUGAUUGGAUGGAUGAUUGGAUGGGAUAGAUAGAUGAUGUUAUUGGAUAGAUGGAUGGAUGGAUGGGAUUGGAUGGGAUAGAUAGAUGAUGUUAUUGCAUGGAUGUGAAUGAGUUGCGAAUAUUAAAAUAUUAUAGUUGAAAUAUUGUUUAUUUCAGGAGUUUUUUUUCAAAAGUCCAAUUUGUCUUUAUUUGAAUUGUAAAUAUGAACAGAUUUUAUUGAUAUUUGCAUUAAUUUGACCAUGUUUUGACAGAAAAAAAUCUACCUUACUCCUGUAAUUUCCUUGUAUUUUUUAAGGCUUGAAAUGUCUAUAAAGCUCUUGUCUCUCAUCCAGUGAAAUCUUAUUGUGGAAAGAUAAUAUAUGUUUUUUUUCUCUGCAUGUGCAAUAAUAUUUAUAAUAUAUGUCAUUUUAAAUAUUGGAAAGUGUUCUAAAUAAAA